rnacentral:rRNA from 1 species
UACGUAGGGGGCGAGCGUUGUCCGAAGUUACUGGGCGUAAAGCGCGCGUAGGCGGUCAUUUAAGUCUGAGGUGAAAGGUUCAGCGCUCAACGUGAACAGUGCCUUGGAUACUGGGUGACUUGAGUUCGGGAGGGGGCAGUGGAAUUCCAGGUGUAGCGGUGAAAUGCGUAGAUAUCUGGAGGAACACCGGUGGCGAAGGCGGCAUCCUGGACCGGCAUUGACGCUGAGGCGCGAAAGCCAGGGGAGCAAACGGG